rnacentral:rRNA from 1 species
UACGUAGGAGGCAAGCGUUGUCCGGAAUCACUGGGCGUAAAGAGCGUGUAGGCGGUCUGUCGCGUCUGCUGUGAAAACUCGGGGCUUAACCCCGGGCCUGCAGUGGGUACGGGCAGACUAGAGUGCGGUAGGGGAGACUGGAAUUCCUGGUGUAGCGGUGAAAUGCGCAGAUAUCAGGAGGAACACCGGUGGCGAAGGCGGGUCUCUGGGCCGUAACUGACGCUGAGGAGCGAAAGCGUGGGGAGCGAACAGG